GAGGGCAUAGCUCAGUGGUAUAGUGCAGGCUCAGCAUGCAUGAGGUCCUAGGUUCAAUUCCUAGUACCUCCG
rnacentral:tRNA from 1 species